rnacentral:rRNA from 1 species
GAUUAGAUCUCAAAUCA